rnacentral:rRNA from 1 species
UGAGUAAUGUCUGGGAAACUGCCUGAUGGAGGGGGAUAACUACUGGAAACGGUAGCUAAUACCGCAUAANGUCGCAAGACCAAAGAGGGGGACCUUCGGGCCUCUUGCCAUCGGAUGUGCCCAGAUGGGAUUAGCUAGUAGGUGGGGUAACGGCUCACCUAGGCGACGAUCCCUAGCUGGUCUGAGAGGAUGACCAGCCACACUGGAACUGAGACACGGUCCAGACUCCUACGGGAGGCAGCAGUGGGGAAUAUUGCACAAUGGGCGCAAGCCUGAUGCAGCCAUGCCGCGUGUAUGAAGAAGGCCUUCGGGUUGUAAAGUACUUUCAGCGGGGAGGAAGGCGAUAAGGUUAAUAACCUUGUCGAUUGACGUUACCCGCAGAAGAAGCACCGGCUAACUCCGUGCCAGCAGCCGCGGUAAUACGGAGGGUGCAAGCGUUAAUCGGAAUUACUGGGCGUAAAGCGCACGCAGGCGGUCUGUCAAGUCGGAUGUGAAAUCCCCGGGCUCAACCUGGGAACUGCAUUCGAAACUGGCAGGCUAAAGUCUUGUAGAGGGGGGUAG